GCCUACAUGAAGCUGGAGUUACUAGUAAUCGCAGAUCAGAAUGCUGCGGUGAAUGCGUUCCCGGGUCUUGUACACACCGCCCGUCACACCACGGAAGUUGGGGGCGCCCGAAGCCACUUAGCUAACCCAUUUGGGAAGCGAGUGUCGAAGGUGAAAUCAAUAACUGGGGUGAAGUCGUAACAAGGUACC
rnacentral:rRNA from 1 species